UUGGUACUCCACGUGUCAUCCUCUCCAUUUCUCUUCUGCCGACUCCAUUUUCGUCCACUUCCAGUUCUUUCUUCCACUGAGUCAAACUCGACUCAACUCACCCCCCCCCCUCUCUCUUUCUUGCCACCCUGCAACCAUUAAGCCUUGCCGAAUUUUCUACCGUUCCAUUUCCGGUCGGUUCUCAAUUUCUCAUUUACUAGCCACUUCUACUUUCCCGUCUAGUACCAUGUCUUCAACCACCGCCGGAGCUUUUCCUCCACGAGCACCGCAGCAGCGAAAAAUGACGAAGCUGAAACUCUACGGCGCAACCGAAUCCUGUCGAGCAAGCUCUACUUCGACGUUCCCCCUUCUAAAGUUCCUCUGAUAUACUCGCCUUCAUACGACAUUGCCUUCCUCGGUAUAGAAAAGUUGCAUCCUUUUGAUUCUUCUAAAUGGGGCCGUAUCUGUCAGUUCCUUAUUGUGGCCGGUCUUCUGGAGAAAAAGCGCAUAGUUGAGCCUCUGGAGUCUACCAAAGAUGAUCUCCUAGUGGUGCAUCCAGAAUCAUACUUGAAUAGCCUAAAGAGCAGCUCAAAUGUCGCCAUCAUUGUUGAGGUUCUGAUCACUUGAUCAUUUGAUGUAUGGCGUUAGGUCCCCCCUGUUGCUGUAUUGCCCAAUUGUGUUGUGCAGCAGAAAGUUCUU